rnacentral:rRNA from 1 species
AUUGAACGCUGGCGGCAGGCCUAACACAUGCAAGUCGAGCGAGCGGCGGACGGGUGAGUAAUGUCUGGGAAACUGCCUGAUGGAGGGGGAUAACUACUGGAAACGGUAGCUAAUACCGCAUACCAUCAGAUGUGCCCAGAUGGGAUUAGCUAGUAGGUGGGGUAACGGCUACCCUAGGCGACGCUCCCUAGCUGGUCUGAGAGGAUGACCAGGCAUACGGUAACUGAUACACGUCCCAGCCUCCUACGGUAGGCAGCAGUGGGGAAUCUUGCACAAUGGGCGCAAGCCUGCUGCAGCCAGGCCGCGUCUGUGAAGAAGGCCGUCGGGUUGUAAAGCUCUUGCAGCGUGGAGGCGUUACCCGCAGAAGAAGCACCGGCUAAGUCCGUGUCAGCAGCCGCGGUAAUUC